ACCUGCAAGUGUGUUCUGUCUCAU
rnacentral:misc_RNA from 1 species